rnacentral:rRNA from 1 species
CAAUUCCAGUUUAUCCUGCUGGAGAGUGCUGCUAUCAGAAUCCGACUAAGCCAUGCAAGUUACAGGCUCUUCGCAAGAAGAGUGCUGGGCGAACUGCUGAGUAACACGUAGCUAACCUACCCUUGAGCGCGGGAUAACUUCGGGAAACUGAGGAUAAUACCGCAUAGACGAAGAAGGCUGGAAUGCAUCUUCGUUCAAACGCAAGGCUCAAGGAUGGGGCUGCGGCCUAUCAGGUUGUUGUUGAGGUAAUGGCUCAACAAGCCUAUGACGGGUAGGGGCGCUGAGAGGCGGAGCCCCCAGAAGGACUCUGAGACACUAGUCCUAGCCCUACGGGGUGCAGCAGGCGCGAAAAUUCUCCAAUGCGCGCAAGCGUGAGAGAGGGAUUCUGAGUGCUAAUCCUUUGAGAUUAGCUUUUGCCAUGUAUAAAAAGCAUGGCGAAUAAGGACUGGGCAAGACCGGUGCCAGCAGCCGCGGUAAUCCCGGCGGUCCGAGUGGGACUCACCUUUAUUGGGUCUAAAACAUCCGUAGCUGGCUUUGUAAGUCUUGUGUUAAAUUGUUGGGCUUAACCCAACAGCUGCACAAGAUACUGCAUAGCUAGAGACUGGGAGACGUAGCGAGUACGGCCGAGGUAGCGGUAAAAUGUGUUAAUCUCGGCUGGACUAACAAUGGCGAAGGCACGCUACGAGAACAGCUCUGACGGUGAGGGAUGAAGGCCAGGGGCGCAAAAUGGAUUAGAUACCCAUGUAGUCCUGGCUGUAAACCCUGCUCACUAAACAUCGUGAUCUCCUCGAGAGAUUGCGGUGCUGAAGGGAAGCCGAGAGUGAGCUACCUGGGGAGUAUAGUCGCAAGACCGAAACUUAAAGGAAUUGGCGGGGGAGCACUACAAGGGGUGACGCGUGCGGUUUAAUUAGAUUCUACCCCGUGAACCUCACCAGGAGCGACAGCAGAAUGAAGGUCAGUCUGAAGGGCUUACCUGACACGCUGAGAGGAGUUGCAUGGCCGACGUCAGCCUGUGUCGUGAGAUGAUCUGUUAAAUCAGGUAACAGGCGAGACCUGCGUGUUUAGUUGCGAUCCGGUAAGGAAGCACUCUAAACAGACUGCUCCCGCAAGGGAGAGGAAGGUGCAGGCAACGUUAGGUGAGUACGGCCCGAAUCCCCUGGGCGACACGCGCGCGGCAAUGGCUGCAACAAUGAGUUGCAAUGCCGAAAGGCAAAGCUAAUCCCAGAAAUGCAGCCCUAGUUCAGAUUGAGGCUUGCAACCCAGCCUCAUGACGCUGGAAUCCCUAGUAAUCGGACGUUAGCAGCGUCCGGUGAAUAAUGUCCCUGCUCCUUGCACACACCGCCCGUCAAACCAACCGAGUUAUGCUUUGGUGAUGUCCUUCGGGAAGGAACCUCAGCAUGACAAGGUAGGUUAAGUCGACACAAGGUAUCCGUAGGGGAACCUGCGGAUGGAUCACCUCCUAU